rnacentral:RNase_P_RNA from 1 species
GCAGAGGGCUGGAUGGCCGCGUGGGUGGCAACAUCCGCGAGGAAAGUCCGGACUCCACAAGGCAACGGUGCCGGGUAACGCCCGGGCGGGGAAACCCGACGGAAAGCGCCACAGAAAUGAAACCGCCCCGAACCUGUUUCGGGGUAAGGGUGAAACGGUGGGGUAAGAGCCCACCGCGCCCCUGGCAACAGGGGUGGCACGGCAAGCCCCACCUGGAGCAAUGCCAAAUAGGACCCCCGCGCGGGCCGGUCGGCGUCAGCCGAUACCGCCGCUAGGCCGCCUUGGCCGAGAGGGAUCGGGUUGGCAGCUAGAGGCGUCUGGCAACAGGCGCACCAGAGGAAUGGUCAUCAAAGGGGGCAACCCCGGAACAAAAUCCGGCUUAUAGGCUCUCUGCGCGU